rnacentral:rRNA from 1 species
CCUUUGACGUUAGCGGCGGACGGGUGAGUAACACGUGGGUAACCUACCUAUAAGACUGGGAUAACUUCGGGAAACCGGAGCUAAUACCGGAUAAUAUUUCGAACCGCAUGGUUCGAUAGUGAAAGAUGGUUUUGCUAUCACUUAUAGAUGGACCCGCGCCGUAUUAGCUAGUUGGUAAGGUAACGGCUUACCAAGGCGACGAUACGUAGCCGACCUGAGAGGGUGAUCGGCCACACUGGAACUGAGACACGGUACAGACUCCUACGGGAGGCAGCAGUA